AGGAAUGAUGAGAUUUGCUACCACUGAGCAGUGAUGAGCCCUGCCGUUACUGACCU
rnacentral:snoRNA from 11 species